GACGAACGCUGGCGGCGUGCUUAACACAUGCAAGUCGAGCGGUAAGGCCCUUUCGGGGGCACACGAGCGGCGAACGGGUGAGUAACACGUGGGUGACCUGCCCUCAGCUCUGGGAUAAGCCUGGGAAACCGGGUCUAAUACUGGAUAUGACUCCAUGACGCAUGUUGUGGGGUGGAAAGCCUUGUGCGGCUGAGGAUGGGCCCGCGGCCUAUCAGCUUGUUGGUGGGGUGAUGGCCUACCAAGGCGACGACGGGUAGCCGGCCUGAGAGGGCGACCGGGCCACACUGGGACUGAGACACGGCCCAGACUCCUACGGGAGGCAGCAGUGGGGAAUCUUGCGCAAUGGGCGAAAGCCUGACGCAGCGACGCCGCGUGAGGGAUGACGGCCU
rnacentral:rRNA from 1 species